rnacentral:rRNA from 1 species
UACGAAGGGGGCUAGCGUUGCUCGGAAUUACUGGGCGUAAAGGGAGCGUAGGCGGACACGUUAAGUCAAGUGGUGAAAGCCCAGGGCUCAACCCUGGAAUUGCCUUUGAUACUGAUUGUCUUGAGUAUGGGAGAGGUAUGCGGAACUCCGAGUGUAGAGGUGAAAUUCGUAGAUAUUCCGGAAGAACAUCCAGUGGCGAAGGGCUGCAUACUGGCCCUUACUGACGCUGAAGCUCGAAAGCGUGGGGAGCAAACAGG